rnacentral:tRNA from 1 species
UAGCCUAGGAGAGAGGGCAUGUGCCUGGGAAGCACAGGGUUAGGGGUUUGAGUCCCUU